rnacentral:rRNA from 1 species
UACGUAGGUGGCAAGCGUUGUCCGGAUUUAUUGGGUUUAAAGGGUGCGUAGGCGGUUUUUAAGUCAGUGGUGAAAUACGGCAGCUCAACUGUCGAGGUGCCAUUGAUACUGGGAAACUUGAGUACUGAUGAGGUAGGCGGAAUGGACGGUGUAGCGGUGAAAUGCUUAGAUAUCGUCAAGAACACCGAUAGCGAAGGCAGCUUACUGGGCUGUAACUGACGCUGAGGCACGAAAGUGUGGGAUCAAA